rnacentral:rRNA from 1 species
AAAGUUAAUUAUUAUUUUAUUUUAUGUAAAAAUUAUUUAAUUAAAUUGUUAUAUUGUAUUAGUAUUAGGUAUAGAAAUUUUAUUAUGUGUAGUACUGUAAAGGUUUAAGUUAAUUAAUAUUUAUUUAUUAGUAGAAUUUUAUGUUUGUACCUUUUGUAUAAUGGAUUGAUGAUAGAUUUAAUUGAAUUAAAAAGUCUCGAAAUAAAAGGAUUUACUUAAUAAAUAAUGUUAACGUGGUAAAGUUAUAUUUUUAUUAUUAGGUGGUAAUGAAAUGUUUUUCGUUUUUUGUGAUAGCUAGUUUAUAGGUUAUAGUAUAUUUUAGUAUUGUAGUGUUAAUAUUAUAAAUUAUAAUUUAAUAUUAUUUAUUUUAUAAGGGAUAAGCUUUAUAUGAUGUAGUAGAACCAGAUAUAUGUAUUAUAUAUAUUUAAGUAGAAUUAAAAUGUUUUUCUUAUAAAUAUUAUAUAAUUAUAUUAUUUAAUUUGAUCUGUUCAAGUUGAUAGGCCUAUAAAUGUUUAAUAAUUAUGAUAAAUACAUAUAAUGUUAAUAUGAGUAUUUUUAAAUAUAAAAUUAUUAUAUUUAUUUGGAGUUGUAUAUUUAUAUAAUAAUAUUUUUUGGUGAAAUAAAAUAAAGGAAUUCGGCAAAUAUAAAUCUCGCCUGUUUAUCAAAAACAUGUCUCUUUGUUUUAAUUAAAUAAAGAGUUGAGCCUGCUCGGUGAUUUAAGUUUAACAGCUGCGGUAUUUUAACUGUACUAAGGUAGCAUAAUAAUUUGCCUUAUAAAUUGAGGCUAGAAUGAAAGGUUUGACGAAGGUUUAUCUGUCUCUAUUUUAUUUAUUAGAAAUUAAUUUUUUAGUGAGAAAGCUAAAAUUUUUUAAAGGGACGAGAAGACCCUAUUGAGCUUAAAUUUAAAAGUACUAUAGUAAUUUUUUUAAUAUUUUGAUAAAUUUUAAUUGGGGUGAUUAAGGAAUAAAAGGAUAAUAAAUUGGUAACUUCCUUAAACUUAAUACUAUUAGGUUAAGUAACCAAUAAUAUUGCUUAUAAUAAAGUUACCAUAGGGAUAACAGCGUAAUUUACUUAGAGAGUUCUUAUUGAAAAGUGAGAUUGCGACCUCGAUGUUGGAUUAAAGUAACCUUAAGGUGCAGUAGCUUUAAAAGGUAAAUCUGUUCGAUUUUUAAAACUUUACAUGAUCUGAGUUCAGACCGGCGCAAGCCAGGUUGGUUUCUAUCUUUUAGAAUCUGAUAAUUUUUUUUUUAGUACGAAAGGACCAAAAAAAUUAAUAUGAUUAUUUU